UUUCUUUAUAACUUAUUUUUUUUUGCGAAUUUACUUCUGCAUAUUGCACUAAUAGUAACACUAAUAGUACUUUUUUUACACGCCAAUUAACUUAAUCGAUGAUUAACCCGGAACGAUCUCUCCUAAGAGAAUAAUUAACUUAUACAACUGUUGUAUAAGUUAUCCAUCCUCUUGGAAGCACUUUUGAUCUUAGCUUUGUUCCAGGUAUUGUUGUGAAAUAAGUAAAAGAGUUUGAGAACAGUGAAAGACAAAAUAAAACAAGCGAAAUGAGUGGAAGAAAACAACCAAGCUGUGCAGUGUUCCAUUAUGUACUAAUAUUGAAAAUUAUAAUAUAGAGCGACGAUAUUUUUUUAGAUUUCCAAAAGAGCAUGACAGAUUACCUGUGAUGAUUGUGAAGCCAGCUAUGUUGGUCAAACAAAAAGGAAAUUGAGUACCAGACUAAAAGAACAUAUAUCUGACAUUAGAAAAAGGACAGGUUCUCCCUCCCUCUGUCAUUACUGACCAUCGUAUCAAUUUUGACCACAAUUUUAAAUGGAAUGAUGUCCAAAUUUUAGACAUUGAAUCUUUUUACAAUAAGAGAUUGGUGUCUGAAAUGAUUCACAUCAAAAGAAAUGUGGAGUUUUUCGCAAUUUACAUUAUUUGAUGAUUGCUUUGUUGAUGGACUCUUGCCAAUUUGCGCCGAUAUGAUUAAGUCUUCAAUAGCGAGUGAGAUUAAAUACCCACAUCACAGAAUUUAUAUACAUAUUUUUGUAUACAUAUUUUGUGAAUUUCUAUAAU